rnacentral:tRNA from 1 species
AGCGCGGAGAGGUGGCCGAGUGGUUUAAGGCAGCGGUCUUGAAAACCGCUUGCGAGAACACCGCCCAGCCCGCGCUA